UUUUGUUACAGCACAUGGCGAGAAGAAGACGGGCUGUCAUCUCCAGCGAAGCGUCCUCCGAAGAGCAUCAGCAAAGACACGUCUUCACAAAACAACUGUGGCGAGAAGCAACGAAGUCCGUUGGUGCUGUGUGAAUUUGUAACUGCAGGAAUGGUGCUGAGGAACCACAGGCACAGUUUGCAGCUCUCUCAACCCCACACAGCAGCACUCACAGCAAAUCAGUAAGAGAUGGAUUCAAGCAUCUCUGCAGUGGUUCUUCCUCAAAGAUAGAGCGAGACGGAGAG